AUGGAUUUAUACUACAUUAGAUAUUAAAUGUGUCUCCACUCCAUGGUGCUUGGGAAGAUGGAUUGAUGUUUAAUAACACUAGAUGUUUUCAUACACAGAACACACAUGGUCUGCAACAAUCCCAUUCAUUCUAAUACCAAUAUCCCAACACCUUCCUCUGGCUUCUGUAGGUAGCAGUCAAAUAUCUAUUACAUAGAAAUUCAUUCAUACUUUUAAAAUGUUCCCAUGAUUUUAUACAGUAAAAUGAUUCGCAGAAAAUAUUUUUUGUAGUACUCUACCUGUAUAUUAUACGUCUUUUGAAUUCUGGUUAUACUAUGAGUUGGUCUACAAAACAUUUGCCCUGUUUUCUUCAUAGUUAGUUUUGUAACUAACAUUAGUUUUCAGAUGGUCUAAAAUAAAAUUAUCCUUUUUCUUCGUUUAGACUUCUACUGAAGAUUCCUCAGGCAAACUUUAUCCUUCUAAAGCAUCUCAUUUGGUAUUAGUAAUAAUAAGAGACUCAUCCACGAGUAAUUUAGACACUAACAGGUUAUCUAUCCGGAUAGCUCCUUAUGUUUUGUGGGAUCAGACUACAAAGGAUGCAUGGUUUGGGAGUGAUGUAUCAAGAAAGAUGUCCAUUAUACAAAUCAUGAUCGACAACUAUCAUCAAAUAUUUGGAAAUUAUAAUAUAUUUUAUAAACAUAUUGACAGAAGAUCUGAGGAUUUAAAGACUUGUGCAGAUUCAAUAAACUCUUCUGGCAAAUCACCUAUUAUGAAAGAAUUCCUAGCUGGCCACAACAAGAAGACAUGCGAUAAUGGUGAAAAAUUAAAAAUUUCAUCCAUUGCUCUGCAGGAGUAAGGUCCUACAGGGAGCAGGGACCCACUUCUGUAAUGUGGGUACACGAGGCUUCAUCUGAAUGCCAUGUUCCUAACUGGAUCUGUGUGGCUCUGUUCACUUAUCUGUGAUCCCUUCCAACUCUACAGUGCUGUUUUCCCAUUAAGGGUCAACUGCAGCUGAAUUUAAAUUUCAGGUUGGCUCAGAUCAUCCUCUCUAGCUGUGUGUUCUUCCUAACCCGCCAUCUAUUCCACAGCGACAGCCCCUCUCUGUAGGGGAGCUGUGCCCAUCAAAGGCUGAAGACUCUCGGGAGAAGCCGCAUCAAGAGGACCUGAUGCCCCCAGAAGCCUGGAUUGCUGGAUAUGCAUGUUUCUGUGAUGUACACAUAUACUCACACAUUUAUAAAACUACUGGUAUAUGUUGUGCCCUUGGUUUUAUUCUCUGUGUAUUUGAACUUUAUAAUAAAAAUACUUUUCACUGUGUA
rnacentral:sRNA from 1 species